rnacentral:rRNA from 1 species
AGCGAACGUUAGCGGCGCGCUUAACACAUGCAAGUCGAACGAGAAAGGGACUUCGGUCCCCGGUAAAGUGGCACACGGGUGCGUAACACGUAGGCAAUCUUCCCUCAGGAGGGGGAUAACUACCCGAAAGGGUAGCUAAUACCGCGUAAGACCACGGACUCCACGGAGACUGCGGUCAAAGGAGGCCGCUUCAUGAAAGCUUCCACCAGAGGAUGAGCAUGCGGCCCAUCAGCUAGUUGGCAGGGUAGCGGCCUACCAAGGCGAAGACGGGUAGCCGGUCUGAGAGGAUGAUCGGCCACACUGGCACUGAAACACGGGCCAGACUCCUACGGGAGGCAGCAGUGGGGAAUCUUGGACAAUGGGCGAAAGCCUGAUCCAGCGACGCCGCGUGGGUGAUGAAGGCCUUCGGGUUGUAAAGCCCUGUUGAGGGGAAAGAAAACGUUGGGCGCGAACAGCUCCCGACCUUGACGGUACCCCUCCAGAAAGCACCGGCUAACUCUGUGCCAGCAGCCGCCGUAACAC